rnacentral:rRNA from 1 species
AUUGAACGCUGGCGGCCGGCUUAACACAUGCAAGUCGAGCGAGCGGCGGACGGGUGAGUAAUGUCUGGGAAACUGCCUGAUGGAGGGGGCUAACUACUGGACACGGUCGCUAAUACCGCAUACCAUCAGAUGUGCCCAGCUGGGAUUAGCGAGUAGGUGGGGUAAUGGCUCCCCUAGGCGACGAUCCCUAGCUGGUCUGAGAGGAUGACCAGCCACACUGGAACUGGGACCCGGUCCAGACUCCUACGGGAGGCAGCAGUGGGGAAUAUUGCACAAUGGGCACAAGCCUGAUGCAGCCAUGCCGCGUGUGGGAAGGAGGCCUGCGGGUUGUAGAGCACUUGCAGCGAGAAGGCGUUACUCGGAGAGGAAGCACCGGCUAACUCCGUGCCAGCAGCCGCGGUAAUUC